CCGAUAGCUCGCAGUGUACACAAAUUCGCGGCUUAUUAGUGGGCGCGUUCAGGUUUGUCGCGUCGCGUCGCUCCGCUCGUUUACUGUAGACGGAGGAGGUGUUGGAUGUGAAACUCUCACUCCUCUCCCCCUCCGACUGUCACCGACAAACAACGUGGGACGGAGGAAUUUGUUAUACUACACCACAGAGACUUUUGCACUGCUUUUUAUACACCGCCGCGUCACAAGUAAAUCUCGCGUUUCGCGGAGCUGGAAAAUAUGUGUAAAGUACUGACAGCGGUCAAAUAAACUUUGCGCUAUCACCCGCGGUUGAGUACUCACAAAUGUCAUGCACUGUUCAAGAGCCUUUGCCUUCCGUGACAUUCAGCGGACUUUAUAACAACCAACAUGAAGCAGACAGGUACACUUAGAACGCGUUGCCUGUCCUAAAGGACUUUUAAACUGGUUGAAGUCGUUGUAAACAUGGAAGAGACAGGCGCUGGGAACGGUACUGGGACGCAGGGCUGUGAACUGGAGCGUUCUGGAGACGGAGGACUGGAUGAGGUGCAGAUGCAUCUCGCCUGCUUACCGGAGCGAUACAUGAGAGCGAAGUUCUCCCUCUCAGCGUACAUAUUUUGUUGGACAGUAGUAAAGUUGUGUCAGAGAUUAAGACCGUCGCCAGUUCUUCCCCAGGCCCCAGCUUUAGAGGACUCUGGGAGUGAGGCAGCCUGUCUGGAUGAUGGGGAGUCUCUGCAGGAGGGGCAUGGAGAGCAACAGGACUAUCAGGAAUGGUGUGAGCCAGUUUCUGAAGCAGCACAGGACACAAAAGAGGAAUAUUUUGACACACACUCAUGUCACAGUGACACUUUCUCUGGCUUGAGUCAUGAAACUAAGGACUGCUGCAGGACACCGCUCAGCUCUGUGGGUCAUCUGGACUCACACUCACCUUCGGUUAGAAGGAGAGAUCCCUCUUCAUCAAAACUGCAUAACUCUAUCAAUCAUGCUGACAGUCUCAGUAGAACAGAGGAUAAAGAACAAUUGCAAAAGCAGACUGAAAAUAUGGGGAUGAUGUGCAUGGGAGUUGAUGGCACUGGAAUGUCUCAAGCUAAGGGUGCUUCGGAAUGUGAGGAGGUUUUCAGCAAUUUUCCAGCGGGACCUGAUAUUGAUUCUUCUUCAAGGAAUGACCAAUCCUACAUCGUAACACCCCUACUGGCAUUAGAGAACGCUGUAGAACCACAAACACUCACUGAUCCAUGUGCUAAUGACUCAUUAUUAACCUUAACAGACUGUGAUGGAGCCAAGUCUCAGUUUGCUGACACCUUUGAGGGAAGAUCAAAAUGGGAUCAAAUUAACAAAAAUAUCACAGACACUCAGUCAAGACACAUUGAGCCACGAAUACAGUUCAUAACCUCAAGUGAGAAGCAGUUACAGCAAAAUGAUAUUGACAGUAUUAACACUGAAAUACAGUUGAUUUCGAAUGCAUCUGUUGCGAAUAGUAAAGAUAACGAAUGUCGUGAGCUGGGUGUUGAUGAAAAUAAGAUCAGUUUAUCUGUAUCACGUCAACUUUCUGUAUACGAGUCUGUAUCAGUUGAGAAGCCUAUUGAACAGGAAUUUGAGGAGUCAACAAAACACAGCCAAUCACAGCCCUCAGUAGAGCACAGCAAAUCACUGCCCUCAGUAGAGCACAGCCAAUCACAGCCUUCAGUAGAGCACAGCCAAUCACAGGCAUCAACAGAACUAAUCCAAUCACAGGAUUCUGUAGAAUGCAGCCAAUCACGGAAUUCAGCAGAACACAGCCAAUUACAGGCCUCAACAAAAGACAGGCCAUCACAAGAUUUUGUUGAACACAGCCAAUCACAGAAUUCAGUAGAACUCAGGCAAUCACGAGACUCAAUAGAACACAGUCAGUCACAGGAUUCAGUAAAAUGUAGGCAAUCACAGAAUUCAGUAGAAAACAGACAACCACAAGACUCAGUAGAACAUAGUCAGCCAAAGGAUUCUGUAGAAUGCAGUCAAUCACAUGAUUCUAUAGAAUGCAGCCAAUCACUGUAUUCAGUCGAACACAGGCAAUCACAAGACUCAAUAGAACACAGCCAGUCACAGAGCUCAGAGGACAUGCCAUCCCAAAUUUUCAUCAAACACAGCCAAUCACAGACCCCAGUAGAACACACCAAAUCACAGGAUUCUGUAAAAUGCAGUCAAUCACAUAAUUCAGUAGAACACAACCAAUCACAGACCCCAGUAGAACACACCAAAUCACAGGAUUCUGUAAAAUGCAGUCAAUCACAGAAUUCAGUAGAACACAACCAAUCACAGGACUCAGUGGAACACAACCAGUCACAGAGCUCAGAAGACAUGCCAUUCCAAAAUUUCAUCAAACACAGCCAAUCACAGACCCCAGUAGAACACACCAAAUCACAGAAUUUUGUAAAAUGCAGUCAAUCACAGAAUUCAGUAGAGCACAACCAAUCACAGACCCCAGUAGAACACACCAAAUCACAGGAUUCUGUAAAAUGCAGUCAAUCACAGAAUUCAGUAGAACACAACCAAUCACAGGACUCAGUAGAACACAGCCAGUCACAGAGCUCAUUAGAAGACAUGCUAUUGCAAAAUGUAAUCAACCACAACAAAUCACAAGACCCAGUAGAAUAUACUCUGUCACUGACCUCACUACAGCACACCCAAUCACAGAAUUCUGUAGAACUUAGCCCAUCAAAUGAUUCUGUAAAAUGCAGCCAAUCACAGGAUUCAGUAGAAAACAGUCAGUCACAUACUACAUCAGAACACAUUCAGUUACAGAAGUCUAUAGAAUGUAGCCAAUCACAGAAUUCCAUACAACACAGGAAAUCACAGGAUUUAGCAGAACAAAACCAAUCACCGAACACCAUAGAGCACAGCCAAUCACAAACUCCAGUGGAACACAGCCAAUCACAAACUUCAGUGCAACACAGCCAAUCACAAACUUCAGUGGAACACAGCCAAUCACAAGUUGAUUCCAUUAAGGCAAAUUCUAUGAAUACACAGUGGACUGUGACGGAGUCAGACUCUGGUUUUAUUUCAAACACAGCUUCUCUUUAUGAAAAGGGACAAUUAAAACAGGACUGCGUGGACGUAUGCAUGAAUUGUGAAGUCAGUCAGUCCUUGAAAACAUCUGGAAGGCUUUCAUCAGAGGAUACUGACAAAGAACUCGAUUUGAACUUCGAAAAGAAUAACAGUCUAAAUUUAAAAAAGCAGAACUUAAAUGACACCCUACCUGUUAUUUCUGAAUGCGAGUCUUUUGCAGCUGAGAGAGCUUUCUCAAAUGUGCCUAACGCAACUUCUGCUGGAGUGUCAGAUUCACUGAAUCAGCAUGUGAUCAAUGACCGGACUUCAGAACUGUCAGAUCUGCAGGCCAGACCUCAUUACGGUCAACAAAAUUUCCCAGUUUUACAAAUGCACACUGAAAAAAGGGAUUACUCAGUUAGUAGUUAUCACAUGGACAUUCAUUGCUUAGAGGACAUUGUUGCAGGGGAACAUGAGCCUGAGGCAGAUUUUUAUGAAACCCAUCAGUGCCCUAAUAGCAGAAUUAACUGUAACACACAGGGUGAAUUCACUGAAGCACAAGUGUAUGUUAACACUAAAACGUUUGAUACCAAUGAUGGUGACGUUUUAGAAGGAACACAGAAGAAUAGCAAAACACAUCACAUUAUUAAAGGGUACCAGAAAGAAUGUACAAUAGUUCCCUCGAUAGAACAGUCAGUAAUUUACUCUGAUAGUUCGGGAUGCAUAGAAUACACUAGGCCUAAGUCAUUGAGUGUCACGUGUCCUGACAUGAAGACAGCUGAAGCCGAUGGGAGUCCUGUAGACAGUCCUGUCGAAUCUCUGGCUAGUCUGUUCGAGAUUUCGUAUGACAAAUCUCAAGUCAGCCCCACAGAUGUUUGCUUUGAGCUCAGUGAUGGCCUUCAUAUGAACUGUAAACAAGUAGCACAUUGCGUUAUAGAAUAUACAGAGACCUCCAAACAAUUUCACAGACCCGACACCCUGUCUGACAAACAAGCAAGACAAAACGAGUCAGUUGAAACAAUUGAGCCGGAUGUAGAUAUUUUGUCUAGUGCAUGUACUGAUCCUUUCACAAAUGCACAAUCCCCUUUUGAUUAUUCCCAGCUGAACAGUAGAAACAAUGAAUACAGCUCAGACACAAAUAAUAAUAUUAAAGCCAUUACUUUUGAAGAGUGUGCCUCAGGUGAACAGAUCUCUUUGCCCAAUUCUUUGCAAAAAUACAGCAGGUUUAGUAUCAAUGCUGGAUCUUUACUCUCAAAAGGUGGUGAUUGCAAAGACAAUGCCCCUCCUAGUCAGGCUACUCCCUUUAAAGCACCUGAAAUGAGGACUGCAAUUGACAGCAAAGAUAAUGUUGCUAAACCUUCUGAAUUCAACGAAUUCAGCAGCCAUAGAGAUGUUAUACUAAAGCAGCUUUGUGAUUGCUGUGAUGGAAAGGAGUGCCAGCUGCACUCGCCUGCAGUGGAAGGAGAGCAGACAGCAGGAGGAUUUCAGUUCAAGGGCACAGACAGCAUCAGUCAGAGCAGAACUGCAGUGUUGCAAACCUUGAGUACCUCACACACACAUGACCAAUGCAACACACAUGGAGAGGUUAAUGCAGACUCUACAAACUGUGAAUUUUCACAUAUUGGCCAUUUGCUUGCACACAAUUUCACAGACCCGACACCCUGUCUGACAAACAAGCAAGACAAAACGAGUCAGUUGAAACAAUUGAGCCGGAUGUAG
ensembl:lncRNA